rnacentral:rRNA from 1 species
GACGAACCGUGACGAACGUUAUUCGGAAUCACUGGGCUUAAAGGGGUGCGAGUAGGCGGGCGGCGACAAGUUGGGUGUGAAAUCCCUCGGCUCAACCGAGGAACUGCGCCCAAAACUGUCGUGCUCGAGGAGACAGAGGUGAGCGGAACUUAGGGUGGAGCGGUGAAAUGCGUUGAUAUCCUAAGGAACACCGGUGGCGAAGCGGCUCACUGGUCUCGUGCUGACGCUGAGGCACGAA